UGAACGCUGGCGGUAUGCCUAACACAUGCAAGUCGUACGGGAGUUUUUAACUCAAGUGGCGGACGGGUGAGUAACACGUGAGAAUUUGCCUUUAGGAGGGGGAUAACAGCUGGAAACGGCUGCUAAUACCCCAUAUGCUUUCGAGUGAAAUGGAAUUAUCCGCCUAGAGAGAAGCUCGCGGCUGAUUAGCUUGUUGGUAAGGUAAUGGCUUACCAAGGCGACGAUCAGUAUCUGGUUUGAGAGGACGAUCAGACACACUGGAACUGAGACACGGUCCAGACUCCGACGGGAGGCAGCAGUGGGGAAUUUUCCGCAAUGGGCGAAAGCCUGACGGAGCAAUACCGCGUGAGGGAAGACUGCCUAUGGGUUGUAAACCUCUUUUUUCAGGGAGGAAUAAAAUGACGUGUACCUGAAGAAUAAGCAUCGGCUAACUCC
rnacentral:rRNA from 1 species